UCAAUAUAUAUUAAUUAUAGACAUAUAUUUCACUACAUUCAUUUCACCCACGCAUCGCGUGGGACAUUUUCUAGUACUAAAUAAAGUUGUGAUGCUUUUUCCUCUAAACACCGUGUUAUAUUUUGUAUUUUUCUUAUUUUGUUAACACCAUGUUAAUUGUUCACUAUC
rnacentral:sRNA from 1 species